rnacentral:rRNA from 1 species
UACGUAGGGGGCAAGCGUUGUCCGGAAUCAUUGGGCGUAAAGAGCGUGUAGGCGGCCAGGUAGGUCAGCUGUGAAAACUCGAGGCUCAACCUCGAGAUGUCGGCUGAAACCAUCUGGCUAGAGUCCGGAAGAGGAGAAUGGAAUUCCCGGUGUAGCGGUGAAAUGCGCAGAUAUCGGGAAGAACACCCGUGGCGAAGGCGGUUCUCUGGGACGGUACUGACGCUGAGACGCGAAAGCGUGGGGAGCGAACAGG